UACGGAGGGUGCAAGCGUUGUCCGGAUUUACUGGGUGUAAAGGGCGCGUAGGCGGAUCUGUAAGUCAGAGGUGAAAUCCUGCGGCUUAACCGUAGAACUGCCUUUGAUACUGCAGAUCUUGAGUUCGAAAGAGAGUAGCGGAAUUCCAGGUGUAGUGGUGAAAUGCGUAGAUAUCGGGAGGAACACCAGUGGCGAAGGCGGCUCUCUGGCCAGUUACUGACGCUCAUGCGCGAAAGCUGGGGGAGCGAACCGG
rnacentral:rRNA from 1 species